UACAGAGGUCUCAAGCGUUGUUCGGAUUCAUUGGGCGUAAAGGGUGCGUAGGCGGCGCGGUAAGUCGGAUGUGAAAUCUCGGAGCUUAACUUCGAAACUGCAUUCGAUACUGCUCUGCUUGAGGACUGGAGAGGAGACUGGAAUUCACGGUGUAGCAGUGAAAUGCGUAGAUAUCGUGAGGAAGACCAGUGGCGAAGGCGGGUCGUCUGGACAGUUCCUGACGCUGAGGGCGCGAAGGCCAGGGGAGCCAAAGCGGGAUUAAGAAACCCGUGGUAACGUCC
rnacentral:rRNA from 1 species